rnacentral:rRNA from 1 species
UGCAGUCGAACGGGGUCGGAACUUCGGUUCCGGCUUACGUGGCGCACGGGUGAGUAACACGUGGGAAUCUGCCCAUCUAUGGGGAAUAACUGCGGGAAACUGCAGCUAAUACCGCAUACGCCCUUCGGGGGAAAGGCUUCGGCCGUAGAUGGAUGAGCCCGCGUCCGAUUAGCUAGUUGGUGGGGUAAUGGCCUACCAAGGCGACGAUCGGUAGCUGGUCUGAGAGGAUGAUCAGCCACACUGGGACUGAGACACGGCCCAGACUCCUACGGGAGGCAGCAGUGGGGAAUAUUGCACAAUGGACGAAAGCCUGAUCCAGCAAUGCCGCGUGUGUGAUGAAGGUCUUCGGAUUGUAAAGCUCUUUCGACGGUGAAGAUAAUGACGGUAUUAAUACUGCUUAGCCCCUGACUAACUUCAUGCCAGAAGCACCGGCUAACUCCGGGGGCUAGCGUUGUUCGGAUUUACUGGUGCGUAGCGUUUGCGUAAUUACUGUAUCGUAAAGCGCGCGUAAGCCCGUAUUUCAACUCCAUGAAUGGCUUUUGAGACUGGUAGGCUGGAGUGCAUUUGAAACUGAAUGGAUUUCCCAUGGUAGAGGUGA